rnacentral:rRNA from 1 species
UACGUAGGUGGCAAGCGUUGUCCGGAAUCACUGGGCGUAAAGCGCGCGCAGGCGGCGAUCUACGUCUGGGGUGAAAGCCCGGAGCUCAACUCCGGGACUGCCUUGGAUACGGGAUCGCUUGAGGAUUGGAGAGGCAAGGGGAAUUCCACGUGUAGCGGUGAAAUGCGUAGAUAUGUGGAGGAACACCUGUGGCGAAGGCGGCAUCCUGGACCGAGAUUGACACUGAGGAGCGAAAGCCAGGGGAGCAAACGGG